AUUCAUUGGUUGAUCGGUCUGCUAUUUCAUUGCUCCCAGAUUACUUUCAAUUCCUCACAAGAUGCACCUCUGUGUGGGAAACUAUUGAUUCGUCCAGCUUGAGAAGACAAGGACACUAGGUUACGGCUUGGGUCAAAUCUUACUUAGAUACUACUUCUCUCAUCCUUGUUGUGGGCUGGCUGCUUGGGCACGUCCACCUUGAUGGAGCCGGAUGAAGUGCAUAGGAUGGCUCUAUUGCAGCUAGCUAAGAGGCAACUUUUUGAACCAGAUACUAAUCUGCUGUACAAUCCUGUGAUAAGGGAACAACAGACACCCCAAGGAAAUCCUGAAUAUUCUAGGCAAGGGUGGACAUCAGGCCGCUCUUUCAUAGCUCAGUGCUAUUAUCCUGUCGCUCCUCAUCCUAGAGUCGAUACAGCUGUCACCCUGGGGACUCACAUGAUAUCCAAAGGAUUAGGUUAGGAAUUCCACGAGGUUGAAUAUUCAGUAGCUCCCCCUGGGUACGUUGAAUGGGGAACUAACAUUUUGAA